GACGAACGCUGGCGGCGUGCCUAAUACAUGCAAGUUGAGCGCUGAAGGUUGUUCCUUGUUCCGACUGGAUGAGCAGCGUACGUGUGAGUAACGCGUGGUGCAUCUGCCUUUGAGCUGGGGACAACAUUUUGAAACUAAUGCUAAUACCGCAUAAAAACUUUAAACACAUGUUUUAAGUUUUAAAUAUGCUAUUGCAUCACUCACAGCUUAUCCCGCGUUGUAUUAGCUAGUUGGUGAGGUAAAGGCUCACCAAGGCGAUGAUACAUAGCCGACCUGAGAGGGUGAUCGGCCACAUUGGGAAUGAGACACGGCGCAAACUCCUACGGGAGGCAGCAGUAGGGAAUCUUCGGCAAGAGACGAAAGGCUGACCGAGCAACGCCGCGUGAGUGAAGAAGGGUGUCGGAUCGUAAGAAUCUGUUGGUAGAGAAGAACGUUGGUGAGAGUGGAAAGCUCAUCAAGUGACGGUAACUACCCAGAAAGGGACGGCUAACUACGUG
rnacentral:rRNA from 1 species